GGCCUACCAUGGUGGUAACGGGUAACGGGGUGUUAGGGCACGACACCGGAGAGGGAGCCUGAGAAACGGCUACCACAUCCAAGGAAGGCAGCAGGCGCGCAAAUUACCCAAUCCCGACACGGGGAGGUAGUGACAAUAAAUAACAAUACAGGGUUCUUUCGGAUCUUGUAAUUGGAAUGAGUACAAUUUAAAUCUCUUAACGAGGAACAAUUGGAGGGCAAGUCUGGUGCCAGCAGCCGCGGUAAUUCCAGCUCCAAUAGCGUAUAUUAAAGUUGUUGCAGUUAAAAAGCUCGUAGUUGAAUUUCGGGAUCAAUAUGUCGGUCGUGCCUUUGGUACGUACUGGCAUCAUUGGUUUCUCCCUUCUGACAAACCAUGAUGUCAUUAAUUUGGUGUGAUGGGGAGUUAAGACUGUUACUUUGAAAAAAUUAGAGUGUUUAAAGCAGGCAUUAGCUUGAAUACAUUAGCAUGGAAUAAUGAAAUAGGACGUUUGACCCUAUUUUGUUGGUUUCUAGGAUCGACGUAAUGAUUAAUAGGGAUAGUUGGGGGCAUUAGUAUUCAAUUGUCAGAGGUGAAAUUCUUGGAUUUAUUGAAGACUAACUACUGCGAAAGCAUUUGCCAAGGAUGUUUUCAUUAAUCAAGAACGAAAGUUAGGGGAUCGAAGACGAUCAGAUACCGUCGUAGUCUUAACCAUAAACUAUGCCGACUAGGGAUCGGAUGAUGUUAAUUUUUUAAUGACUCAUUCGGCGCCUUACG
rnacentral:rRNA from 1 species